AUUGAACGCUGGCGGCAGGCCUAACACAUGCAAGUCGAGCGGAUGAAGGGAGCUUGCUCCUGGAUUCAGCGGCGGACGGGUGAGUAAUGCCUAGGAAUCUGCCUGGUAGUGGGGGAUAACGUCCGGAAACGGGCGCUAAUACCGCAUACGUCCUGAGGGAGAAAGUGGGGGAUCUUCGGACCUCACGCUAUCAGAUGAGCCUAGGUCGGAUUAGCUAGUUGGUGGGGUAAAGGCCUACCAAGGCGACGAUCCGUAACUGGUCUGAGAGGAUGAUCAGUCACACUGGAACUGAGACACGGUCCAGACUCCUACGGGAGGCCGCAGUGGGGAAUAUUGGGCGAUGGGCGAAAGCCUGAUCCAGCCAUGCCGCGUGCGUGAAGAAGGUCUUCGGAUUGUAAAGCACUUUAAGUUGGGGGGAAGGGCAGUAAGUUAAUACCUUGCUGUUUUGACGUUACCAACAGAAUAAGCACCGGCUAACUUCGUG
rnacentral:rRNA from 1 species